AGGGCCAGCACCAGUCCCAUAAAGAGUCCAUAAGCCCCAAUAUGCCCACUGGCUGUCUUAAAUGGCCAUACACACUCAAUAAAGGUGCAUAAAUUCUCACAAUCUCCCAGGGGCCAUAGUCAUGUGGAAGGAGGCUGGCAAAUAGGCUUCUCCACAACCCAGGGAAGCAGGGCAAUUUGCCAUUUAAAGGGCCAGUUACAAAUAGCAGUUUG